rnacentral:rRNA from 1 species
GCUUAGAAGUUAACCAAGGUAGUAGCCCCCAGCCCACUGCCCGCCAGAACAUUACAAGUGAAAAACUUUAAACUCAAAGGACUUGACGGUGUUCCACCCACACUAGAGGAGCCUGUCCUAUAAUCGAUAACCCACGCUAUACCCCACCUGCUCUUGCACAAAUCAGCCUAUAUACCGCCGCCCUCAGCCCACCUUACAAAAGCCCCAACAGUGGGCUAAACAACCAGCCCGUUAAAACGUCAGGUCAAGGUGUAGCUAACGAGCAGGAAAAGAUGGGCUACAUUUUCUGAUCACAGACCAUCAACCCACAGCAACAUGAAACAUUCGCCACCAAGGCGGAUUUAGCAGUAAGCUGGACAAGACCUGCCCAACUGAACACCGCUCUGGAACGCGC